UACGUAGGGGGCAAGCGUUGUCCGGAUUUAUUGGGCGUAAAGAGCGUGUAGGCGGCCAGACAGGUCCGUUGUGAAAACUGGAGGCUUAACCUUCAGACGUCGAUGGAAACCGUCUGGCUAGAGUCCGGAAGAGGAGAGUGGAAUUCCUGGUGUAGCGGUGAAAUGCGCAGAUAUCAGGAAGAACACCCGUGGCUAAGGCGGCUCUCUAGUACGGUACUGACGCUGAGACGCGAAAAGCGUGGGGAGCGAACAGG
rnacentral:rRNA from 1 species